rnacentral:rRNA from 1 species
UACGGAGGGUGCGAGCGUUGUCCGGAAUUAUUGGGCGUAAAGAGCUCGUAGGCGGUUUGUCGCGUCUGCUGUGAAAACUCGGGGCUUAACCCCGGGCCUGCAGUGGGUACGGGCAGACUAGAGUGCGGUAGGGGAGACUGGAAUUCCUGGUGUAGCGGUGAAAUGCGCAGAUAUCAGGAGGAACACCGGUGGCGAAGGCGGGUCUCUGGGCCGUAACUGACGCUGAGGAGCGAAAGCGUGGGGAGCGAACAGG